UAUAUAUAAAUUAAUUGGAUAGAAAUUGAAUUGCUAGUCGAAGUCCUCUCUAUAUCAUCGGUAAAUCUCUCAACAACCGCAAGACCGCGUAUUCCAAUCCUUGGUCGACUAGUCGGAUACCGAUCUUCCUGUUUGGCACUCACCACUGCCUUGAACCCGUCUAUUCAAGAUUUCUCCAAAGAAGGAAAUUGAAAUAGCACAAAAUGGAGAAGUCGAAAAGUAAGAGGAUUAGUAUGAACAUAAAUGGGAGUCUUCUACCGCAUAUUCUUGAGGCACAAUGGUCAACAAUGAAGCUCUAGUGGUUACAACAUAUAACAGAAAGAUGUCGACAACGGUUCAACUUCCAGCUGCGCUGUUCUUCUUGAUUUCGAGUCUUUCUGUAACAUGUUUGAAGCCAAAAUAAUGGAAAUAUUGAGGCAAAAGCCCAAAGACUAAACAUGCCUUCUUUAAUAACUAUUUCAUUAAACUUCUUGGAUGGGUUGAACCA